rnacentral:misc_RNA from 1 species
AAAGUCGUAACAAGGUUUCCGUAGGUGAACCUGCGGAAGGAUCAUCAUUGAACCUCUAAAUAUCAACACACGCCCUGUGCACCUGGACCCGCGGGAGGGGAGGAGCGGCCUUUAGUGCGCCGCGAGCCCCCGCCCGCACCCGCUUAAACCCCCCUUUUUUACCCCUUUUCUUACAACAAAACAAAAACAUAACCAAUAGACAACUUUUAACAACGGAUCUCUUGGCUCUC